GACAACCUUUUCUUUUAUUUUCUCUCCGUACAGCCUGCCCUGGGAUCGCUCCCAGCCGAAGCCUCCUCUGGUCCGCUCCCCGCAGCUCCUUCCGGGCUUCGCUCCGAAGCCUCUACCGGUCCGCUCUCCGCGGCUCCUUCCGGGCUUCUACUUCCCCCCAGGGGUGGCACCAGUAUAUAUACGGAUACAGUGUCCAAUCAUAUUAAACCUGCCCUGGGAUCGCUCCCAGCCGAAGCCUCCUCUGGUCCGCUCCCCGCGGCUCCUUCCGGGCUUCGCUCCGAAGCCUCUACCGGUCCGCUCUCCGCGGCUCCUUCCGGGCUUCUACUUCCCCCCAGGGGUGGCACCAGUAUAUAUACGGAUACAGUGUCCAAUCAUAUUAAAGUAAGCAAGGCAA